GAUGAACGCUGGCGGCGUGCCUAAUACAUGCAAGUCGAGCGAACAGACGAGGAGCUUGCUCCUCUGACGUUAGCGGCGGACGGGUGAGUAACACGUGGAUAACCUACCUAUAAGACUGGUAUAACUUCGGGAAACCGGAGCUAAUACCGGAUAAUAUAUUGAACCGCAUGGUUCAAUAGUGAAAGACGGUUUUGCUGUCACUUCUAGAUGUAUCCGCGCCGCAUUAGCUAGUUGGUAAGGUAACGGCUUACCAAGGCAACGAUGCGUAGCCGACCUGAGAGGGGGAUCGGCCACACUGGAAGUGAGACACGGUCCAGACUCCUACGGGAGGCAGCAGUAGGGAAUCGUCCGCAAUGGGCGGAAGCCUGACGGAGCAGCGCCGCGUGAGUGAUGAAGGUCUUCGGAUCGUAAAACUCUGUUAUUAGGGAAGAACAAAUGUGGAAGUAACUAUGCACGUCUUGACGGUACCUAAUCAGAAAGCCACGGCUAACUACGUG
rnacentral:rRNA from 1 species